GUGCCAGCAGCCGCGGUAAUACGAAGGGGGCUAGCGUUGUUCGGAAUUACUGGGCGUAAAGGGCGCGUAGGCGGUUUGACCAGUCAGGUGUGAAAUUCCCGGGCUUAACCUGGGGGCUGCACUUGAUACUGUCAGGCUUGAAUUCGGGAGAGGAUAGUGGAAUUCCCAGUGUAGAGGUGAAAUUCGUAGAUAUUGGGAAGAACACCAGUGGCGAAGGCGACUAUCUGGACCGACAUUGACGCUGAGGCGCGAAAGCGUGGGGAGCAAACAGGAUUAGAUACCCUGGUAGUCC
rnacentral:rRNA from 1 species